GCUAGACCAGUAAAAUAUGGACCCAGUAUCAUGGCCUAUUGUGGCCAGGGCCACUGGGCUGUUUCUGUCAUCCUUCUGAAAAUAGCCCAGAAGGCCUUUACAUCAUCGUCCCCCACCAAUUUAGUGAGAUGGAAUAUGGUAGCAGCUGGGCCCCCUGUCCUGUCCUCCCCUCUGGCCUCAGUCGGACCAGGAUAUAGCCGGAAAGAAGGAGGAGGAAGAAAGGAGGAAGGAAACAAUUUGACAAGGAAACCUCAACGUGCCCAGGAAUAAAUUUACUUCACUGAAGCCUCAUAUGGUUCAAGUCAAAGGAUGCUACCCCAAGAAGGAACGAAAUGUAUAAGCUCUUUACUAUAACAAUAACCCUAGCAUUUUGGAGCUGCUACAAUACAAAAAUUGAAACAGACAGCUGACUAUAUCCAUAUAACUCCAGAAACAGCCAGUCAAAGACACCAGAGAGGAAAAAGAGAGAGAGGCCAGAGAGGAAAAAGCACAUGCCAAC